rnacentral:lncRNA from 1 species
UAACGCCCCACAACCUAACAGCAGAAUCCAAUUGGAUCACCACCAUUAAGUUAGGGAUGCUAACCUUUUUAUAUAUACUUAAACAUUAUGGUUUUAAUACAAAAAUACAUUAUAUGCUUUGAAAAGAUAUCAAACUUUGUACUUUCUCAAAGUCUGUACAUAUAUAUAUUUAAAUAUUUAUUGUUUUCAAAAUUACAUUGUACAAAAACCAUAAUAGAGCGGCUAUCAAAAUGAAAUCAGAGUUUCUAGCUCGGCUACAAAAAUGGCUCGAAGCAUGGCAUAUGAACAAAUAUCUGACUGGCCGCUCUUGGCUAGGUCAACUUCUAAACAUGUACAUCAUUACCAGCAUCAUAAGAACCUAAUGAGCUAAUGGCUCAGCAAGUUGAAACUGAUAUAAUAACUAUAUAUCAUAUAACACAUUAUUCAUUCAAUAUGUACAAUAUCACAUAUAUAACUUCAUUCAUGAUCAUUCUCUUUGAAAUCCUUCUCUUUUUCGGGUACCCUUGAAGUGUGGUACUUGACUGAUAGCAAUAGGCUGUGGUUUUCGGAACCUGUUCAUCAUAUUUGGCCAAUAGAUAAUACGGGGUUUCCAUACCGGCCUUUCGACCUCAGGUAUUAGCCGUAUUUUAUUUCAUUAAUUGUGAGUUUCCCAUACUGGUCUUUCGACCUCAGGUAUUUGCCACCAUGUGUUGGGUCCGCCGGUCCCUCCCGCGUCCCUUACCUACCCGACCAUCAAUCAAGUACCAUACUCCCAUUUUCAAAACAUAUUCUCUCAUAUCACUAUGACUCAUCAAUCAUUCAAACAUCAUGCUGAACACAUAGCAAAAGUCAUAUUAAAGCACACAUAAUUAGGUUCUUAUGAUGAGCAAAUGAAUGCUUCAACUUACCUCAAAAUCAAUAUGGUUUAUGAAGUGAAAAGAUCAGUCUCAUAUAGGUUGUGCUAGAGUCCUUGAUUAUAGAUGAAUUCAAACUUCAAAACGUAAGAUUUCAGCUAGACAGGUGCAUAACUUGUUCUAGCUCUACUUCUAUGAGUUCUUAUGUUUGAUGUUCUCUUAUGUGAGUAUGGAAGUGAAGAAAUAUGAAGAGAAGCUUAAGGAAAUAGGUCUGGUCGGUUUUUGGAAGAAGACAAGUGAAAU